AGGGUGGUAUCGCGCGAACCACACCUUAAGCAGGAUCCGUAAACUUAAUACUGUUUUAUGUACCGCUUGGAGCCGGGUUGGACCGAGACGGGAGG
rnacentral:ncRNA from 1 species